rnacentral:misc_RNA from 1 species
UACAGAGGGUGCAAGCGUUAAUCGGAAUUACUGGGCGUAAAGCGUGCGUAGGUGGCUGUGUAAGAUGGGUGUGAAAUCCCCGGGCUUAACGUGGGAAUUGCAUCCAUUACUGCUCGGCUAGAGUACGGGAGAGGGUAGUGGAAUUUCCUGUGUAGCGGUGAAAUGCGUAGAUAUAGGAAGGAACACCAGUGGCGAAGGCGACUACCUGGACUGAUACUGACACUGAGGUGCGAAAGCGUGGGGAGCAAACAGG